rnacentral:rRNA from 1 species
AGAACGAACGCUGGCGGCAUGCCUAAUACAUGCAAGUCGAACGAACUCUUCGGAGUUAGUGGCGCACGGGUGCGUAACGCGUGGGAAUCUGCCCUUGGGUUCGGAAUAACAGUUGGAAACGACUGCUAAUACCGGAUGAUGACGAAAGUCCAAAGAUUUAUCGCCCGAGGGAUGACGCCCGCGUAGGAUUAGCUAGUUGGUAGAGGUAAAGGCUCACCAAGGCGACGAUACCGUAGCGUGGUACUGAGAGGAUAGACUCCGACGCCACGUACGU